rnacentral:rRNA from 1 species
UACGGGGGGGGCAAGCGUUGUUCGGAAUUACUGGGCGUAAAGAGCGUGUAGGCGGCCAGAUAGGUCUGUUGUGAAAACUCGAGGCUCAACCUCGAGACGCCGAUGGAAACCAUCUGGCUAGAGUCCGGAAGAGGAGAGUGGAAUUCCUGGUGUAGCGGUGAAAUGCGCAGAUAUCAGGAGGAACACCGGUGGCGAAGGCGGGUCUCUGGGCCGAUACUGACGCUGAGGAGCGAAAGCGUGGGGAGCGAACAGG